GGAGAGGUGGCAGAGUGGUUGAAUGCGGUGGUCUUGAAAACCAUUGACGGUGCAAGCUGUCCGGGGGUUCGAAUCCCUCCCUCUCCG
rnacentral:tRNA from 1 species